rnacentral:rRNA from 1 species
AGCCAGACUCCUACGGGAGGCAGCAGUGGGGGAUAUUGCACAAUGGGGGAAACCCUGAUGCAGCAACGCCGCGUGAGUGAAGAAGUAUUUCGGUAUGUAAAGCUCUAUCAGCAGGGAAGAAGAUGACGGUACCUGAUUAAGAAGCCCCGGCUAACUACGUGCCAGCAGCCGCGGUAAUACGUAGGGGGCAAGCGUUAUCCGGAUUUACUGGGUGUAAAGGGAGCGCAGACGGCAGUGCAAGUCUGGAGUGAAAGCCCGGGGCCCAACCCCGGGACUGCAUUUGAAACUGUCAGGCUGGAGUGCAGGAGAGGUAAGUGGAAUUCCUAGUGUAGCGGUGAAAUGCGUAGAUAUUAGGAGGAACACCAGUGGCGAAGGCGGCUUACUGGACUGUAACUGACGUUGAGGCUCGAAAGCGUGGGGAGCAAACAGGAUUAGAUACCCCGGUA